rnacentral:rRNA from 1 species
UCCAAACGCGUUGGCGCGGGCUGGGGUAAACCGGAGAGUGCAGCGUGUAAGGGGAAUUAUGUGGCCGAAAGGGCGCGUAGGCGGCUAUAUAAGUCAGAUUUGAAAUGCCGAAGCUCAACUUCGGAGCUGCAUUUGAAACUAUAAAUCUCGAGGAUUGACGGAGAAAACGGAAUUCCACGUUGAGCGGUGAAAUGCGUAGUUAUGUGGAAGAACACCUGUGGCGAAAGCGGUUAUCUAGUUUAGACCUGCCGCUGAGGCGCGAGAGCAAGGGGAGCAAACAGGAUUAGAUCCCUGGUAGUC